CUUGGGCUGGGGGUGUCACUCAGCCUGGAAUGCAAGAGGGUGCAGGUCAGGCCGUAGGACCCCACCAGUGCAUG
rnacentral:pre_miRNA from 1 species